AUGUUUGCGGAUGCAGUAUCUUCAAGAUUCACAUAAAGUCAUGAGGGCCUCCUAAGAGUAUAACUCUCUACGGAGCUCUCAAAUAUGAGAAUCUUGAUGAUGCUGCAUCGGCAAUAAA
rnacentral:pre_miRNA from 1 species